AACAAAGUAGCAUAAUGGUAACGCGGCAGGCUCAUAACUUGUCGAUUGGAGGUUCGAUUCCUCUCUUUGUUA
rnacentral:tRNA from 1 species